rnacentral:rRNA from 1 species
AUGGGCGAAAGCCUGACGGAGCAACGCCGCGUGAGUGAAGACGGCCUUCGGGUGUGUAAAGCUCUGUUAUACGGGACGAAUAGUCUUGUGGUUAAUACCCAUGAGAAGUGACGGUACCGUAAGAGAAAGCCACGGCUAACUACGUGCCAGCAGCCGCGGUAAUACGUAGGUGGCAAGCGUUGUCCGGAAUUAUUGGGCGUAAAGGGCGCGCAGGCGGCUUCUUAAGUCUGUCUUAAAAGUGCGGGGCUUAACCCCGUGAUGGGAUGGAAACUGGGAAGCUCAGAGUGUCGGAGAGGAAAGCGGAAUUCCUAGUGUAGCGGUGAAAUGCGUAGAUAUUAGGAGGAACACCAGUGGCGAAAGCGGCUUUCUGGACGAAAACUGACGCUGAGGCGCGAAAGCCAGGGGAGCGAACGGGAUUAGAUACCCCGGUAGUCCUGGCCGUAAACGAUGGGUACUAGGUGUAGGAGGUAUCGACCCCUUCUGUGCCGGAGUUAACGCAAUAAGUACCCCGCCUGGGGAGUACGGCCGCGAGGUUGAAACUCAAAGGAAUUGACGGGGGCCCGCACAAGCGGUGGAGUAUGUGGUUUAAUUCGACGCAACGCGAAGAACCUUACCAAGCCUUGACAUUGAUCGCAGGGAGGAGAGAUACUCUGUUCUUCUUCGGAAGACGAGAAAACAGGUGGUGCACGGCUGUCGUCAGCUCGUGUCGUGAGAUGU